CGGCUCAGUAACACGUCGAUAACCUGCCUUUAGGUUGGGAAUAACCAUAGGAAACUGUGGCUAAUACCUGAUAGAAGAUUAGUGCUGGAAUGCUUUUUCUUUCAAAGCUUCGGCGCCUAAAGAUGGGUCGGCGGCUGAUUAGGCUGUUGGUGAGGUAAUGGCUCACCAAACCUGUGAUCAGUAGGGGGGAUGAAAGUCCUAGCCCCGAGAAGGGCCCUGAGAUACUGGCCCUAGCCCUAAGGGAUGCAGCAGUCAGGAAUACUUUACAAUGCACGCAAGUGUGAUAAGGGGAUUCCAAGUGCUUUGCUAAUGGCAAAGCUUUUGUCAAGUCCAAGAAGCUUGACGAAUAAGUGGUGGGUAAUACCGGUGCCAGCCGCCGCGGUAAUACCGGAGCCACAAGUGGUGGUCACUAUUAUUGGGUCUAAAGCGUUCGUAGCCGGCUUAUUAAGUUUCUUGUAAAAUUGUUAGAUUUAAUCUAACACCUGGCAAGAAAUACUGGUAGGCUUGAGACCGGGAGAAGACAGAGGUAUUUCAGGGGGAGCGGUAAAAUGUUAUAAUCCUUGAAGGACCACCAAUGGCGAAGGCAUCUGUCUAGAACGGGUCUGAC
rnacentral:rRNA from 1 species